AUGAAAACCCAAGAACACUCUUCGCGAUCACGAUUAACACCUGUCAUUUUCUUUUCUGCAUUUGUCCUAACAAUCUCCCUCAUGCUGGCGUUGCUAGGCUACCGUAUACGUCAGCGAAAGGCGGCGCUUAAAGAAAGCAUUGUGCACAAGACAAGGCCCAACACACGAAAAAUGACGAAGCAAAGAAUCAUGGAAACGAGAUGGAUGAAGGAAGAUAUUUGACCUGACGGGGAUAGUCGCUGAUUUACACUGAUCUGUAUGUACACAACUGAAUUGAGCAUUUGCUGACAUGCCUUGUGUACUGCAAUGGGGGGAAAGCUAUUCUGCACCAGUGAACUCAGCUGAUGUAGUGACGUAACACUAAAGAUUCGGGUUAGGGUUACGGAGUAACGUCACUACAUUAACUGAGUGAAGAAUAAGCUCUACCAGGCAAAAGACCAAUUCGCAGAUACGCAUCCAUCUCUGUUGGCAUAAAUGUGUCUGUUUUAAAAACCUGUUAGGCACCAUGAAUAUAUAUAGUUUCAUAUUCUUAGUUUCGACUUUCUUUUGGGCUUAAGCAAAAAUUCUGGUCCCGUAAAGUACUCACCCUUCGCUAUAGAGCCUCGUUUUCCGGAUUGAGAUAUCGGCUUUUGAGCCAUUUGUUUUGUCACUGAUGACCAAUUAUAAAUAAAGGUCUUUUAUGUUAUCUAAACAAACUGCAUGGUUUUGUUAAUGUGAACACCUGUAACAAGAUUGAAGAUAAUGAGGCUCUAUAGCCAGUUUGAGUACAUUUCGGAAAGGUGUAUUCAUACAGAUCAGUGCUAAACAAGGCGUUGGACCGAAACGAUUUCAGGCAAGCAGUGAUCGGGCGGCUUAUCAAAAGUCAACCUAACGAACCUAAGUGAGACAUAUUUUUAACACAGAACACGUACUUCGCUACUAUGAUAAAAUAACAAUGUACCAUAUACCUAUUUUAUAUACAAAGUAUUAGCAGGGUUUAAAACUGCAUCUUGUCAUGUUGGACAAUGAAUACAUUUUGUACGUUUAUAUACCAACAGUAGUAAGUCGCAAAGGAGAAGAGUAUUUUAUGGUAAUUAAUUCGUAAUUAAUUAAUUAAUUAAGCUAUACAAGUCCCAAAAUAUAGUCAAUCGAGAUAAACUCAACAAAAAAUUUUCGGGACAUCAGCUAUGACAUUGUCCCAACGUUAUAUAUUUCUUCCUUUUUCUAAUUAAUACAUGCGUCGUGUUUCCCUUUCAUCAUUUGCCCGAUUUUUAAGUAGAAUCCACACGACUUAAAAAUGAUUGUGGGGGCUGCAGCCCCCCUCAAGCCCCCUAUGCCCAUGGUUGUGUUCCAAAUUUUUGAAAUAAUCAUUAACAGGCAUCAACAAGAUAAAUUUUGAUAGUAAGAUCGCUAGAAACUGGUAGAACCAAAUGUCAUGGCUGUUUAAGACUGGAAACCUAUUGGCGUAUUGAUGCUUUACAUAAAUGACGCAUGGUUUCAAUGGUCGAUUGGGUGAAGCAGAUUUUAGUGUCGAAAUUAAAUUUAUCUCUCAGAUUGGAUUUUGGAUGCCCACAAAUAACUAACUCUGUAAUAUUCUGGAACACAGCAGUUAACCAGACAUAGUACUACUACACAAGUGCUGUGCCGUGGAGCAUGCGCAAAACAGCACGUUGGUGGCUUAAACCAGUGCAUCGCAAGCACGAAAACAUAACACCGCAAAAAAACGUCGGAAAUUUGCCUUGCAAGCAUGGUAUCAAGUAUUCCGAAUGUUGUCAAAAACUCAGAAUGAAAGCGACGUCGAUGUUUUGCCUUUUCUGUGAAAAUGCAAGCGGAAUAACUAUGAAUGUGACAAUCUAAAAACUAGAAAUAAUUACAGUCUUACAUGUGCAAGAAGUAGUAGUAUGCAAGAAAAUGAACCAAAGGUGACUGUCGAUAAAUGUCGUUGCAUGACAGUAAAGACUAAAAUUUAUGUAAAACAACAUGACAGUUUAAUAUCAAUUAUUUAGAAACCUUGGUAAUGUUUCUGAGAGGAAUUUCAGAUUCAAAUUUGAGCUAAAUUUCCUAAAACUGUUCUCAAUUAAAUUCAUGUAAAUAACGAACGAUUUUCAAAGCGCAAUUUUUGUAAUAAAGGCAACUUGCUGCCCCCGCA
rnacentral:lncRNA from 1 species